UCUAAGGGAGGGCUAGAGCUGCCCUGUGGGCAGUACAUAGGAAGCUCAGGCUGGAUUCUGAAUGCCCAGGCCCUCCCCUUUUCCCAUACAGAGAGCUGGGGGAAGACUGUGGUUGGGUGGGUUGAAGGGAAACGAUGGCAGGCAGGCUUGGGAACCAGCAUGUGGGAAUAGAGUUGAAGGCCUCAGGAAGACAGGAGAGACGCAGGGGAUGCAGGCUGGCUGGCUAUAAAUACCUCCCAGGACUCAUCUCUACUCCUUCUCCUUGAAUUGAGUUGGGUCUGUUCUGGGGCCCAUCUCUUCACAGUAUCUCCUCCCGCAGGCUCCCAGGGGAAGAGAGAUGAAUCAGGCUUCCACAGGCUGACAUGAGGGGAAUGGCAGCUCCAGCCGCUCAUCCAUCCAGAGACAGGCACUCGCCAUCUGCGCAACCUUCUCGACGCAUGCAGUCCAGAUUCUGGGGCAACUGGAAGAGCCAACCCAAUCCAAGGCAUUUUGCCCUUUCUCAGAGGACAAACACAUCAGUUCAUGGUCAGGAGUAACAUAUAGGGAUUCUGUGGACCAGGGUUUGGAAGAACAUAAAUUCCCUCUCUGAUGAGAUGGAUGGGAUGGGAUGAGGUUUGGGGGGGGGGGGCAAAGAUUGUCCUGAGGCUGGCUAAAGGUGGCCAGAUCCUGGAAAUGCAAGGCUGGAGUCUUGGUCCUCAGCCCUUUCUGCUCACCCAGAGAGGGGCAGGGAGGAUGACUUCAGAAAGGAGGAUCCUACCCAGGGGACCGUCCUGUUGUAAAAAUCAGGAGUGUUGACUCCAAAUAAACCAAAAAAUGCUGCAGUGCAAA